UACGUAGGGUGCGAGCGUUAAUCGGAAUUACUGGGCGUAAAGUGUGCGCAGGCGGCCGCGCAAGUCGAGUGUGAAAGCCCCGGGCUUAACUUGGGAAUUGCGCUCGAAACUACGUGGCUGGAGUGUGGCAGAGGAAGGUGGAAUUCCAGGUGUAGCGGUGAAAUGCGUAGAGAGUCUGGAGGAACACCGAUGGCGAAGGCAGCCUUCUGGGCCAACCACGUGACGCUCCAUGCACGAAAGCGUGGGGAGCAAACAGG
rnacentral:rRNA from 1 species